CACGUAGGGGGCAAGCGUUGUCCGGAUUUAUUGGGCGUAAAGAGCUCGUAGGUGGUUCGGUAAGUCAGGUGUGAAACCUCCAGGCUCAACCUGGAGACGCCACUUGAUACUGCUGUGACUGGAGUCCGGUAGGGGAGCGUGGAAUUCCUGGUGUAGCAGUGAAAUGCGUAGAUAUCAGGAGGAAUACCGAUGGCGAAGGCAGGUCUCUGGGCUGACACUGACGCUCAUGCACGAAAGCGUGGGGAGCAAACAGG
rnacentral:rRNA from 1 species